rnacentral:lncRNA from 1 species
CUCUCUAUAUUUUGUGCCAAGAGUGCUUCAGAAAUGUUUUGAUAACCUCCUUAUUGUUCAGAACUGCCUAUAUCAGGCUCCAACUGCUAGUUUCUCGCUCAAGCUAGGGAUUCUUGCUUGAGCGAGAGAAGAUGUCAUUCCCACGCCUGAACACCUCGCCUGGGCGAGCUACCCUCGCUUGGGCGAUGGAGAACCAGAGGCUAUCAUAUUUUUUGCCUUCAGUUGUCGCCUGGGCGACAGUCCCUCGCUUGGGCGAGGGACAUCAGUGUUUUCUAAUGAUUUUCUUCUGAAUUAUGGUUUGGGCGACCAUUCCCUCGCUUGGGCGAGGCUUGUGUUGUUUAGAAACUCAUUAUUCUUAUUUUUUUUCUCGUUUGUUCAUCAUUUCCUAGCCUGCAAACAACACAACACAAUUAAAUUCCUAAACAAUACAAGAUUAACUAAGUUAUCGAAUUGUACGCAGUUCUAGCAUAAAUAAGCAUUAAGUGUCCCACAAUCAUAUACAUUUCCUUAACAAUUUGACACUUAACAACUAUCUUAUGAGACGACACUUUGUAAUCAAGACAAACCAAAGAAGUGAAGCUUAUUGGGUUGGAUUUUGAGAUCGAACAAGACCAUAAGGGGAAGCGAGUCAUGCAAGAGUUGGUGGUGUCCCCUAAUGCUCACCCUAGUUAUGAACUCAUAUAGGGUGUACUAUACUAUAAGGAUAAAUUAGUAGUGUUCAAGUCUUCAAACAGAAUUCCCCUUAUUAUGGCUUAAUGUCAUGAAACUCCUAUGGGAGGGUACUCAUGGCACUUCAAAACUUUCAAGAGGAUUGCUAGUUUCUUAUUUUAGGAGGGAAUGAGGUCUAAUAUCAAGGCUUUUAUAGAAGAGUGUGAUGUUUGUCAAAGGAAUAAGUACUCAACUUUAGCUCGUACAGGGUUGUUGUAAACUCUCUCCUCUCUAGUUUCAAUAACUAUGCUAACAGAACAACCAUGAACAAAAGGGAGGAAAAUGACUAUUUUCGUACUUACAGUACAAACAAAAGGAAUGUUUUUUCUCCUUUUCAAAGCAUCAGGUAGGUGCAUUUUCUAGAACGGAAUAAAAAACGCCAUGAACAAAAAGGGAAAAUAACAAAAUUUCCUCCUUAUAAUAGUAUAAACAAAUGAAAAUUAUUUAUCAUACUUCAGUGGACUCACUCUAUUGUUCUUUCUACCUUAGGAGACUCUGAAUAUAGUUCUUAAUAAGAGAGGAAAGUUUAUUGCCACGACUGGCCCAUGACCUGACAUCAAACAACAGAGAGAAAAUCCUGCAUUGUUAGUGUGAUCAUAUAAGUUAAAUCUUGCAUUGCCAUGUUACAUACAAUCCUGCAUUGCCAUGUUAACAAAGAUACAUACAAUGACAUCCCACAUCACACACUUGUUAGUGUGAUCAUAUAAGUUAGAAAACUGAUUAUGUUUGUCUGCUGAGUCAUAAAUAAAAAGAUCACUUUUGUAAAGCCAUGUGACUAAAUUAUUAAACUUAUUGCAUCAAUUUGCUCUUAAAAUAAUAACUAACUAACAAGUCAGCAAUGGACCCUAACCGAUCUAACCAAUUUUGUAUGAUCUAACCAUAAGGUUUUAAAUCUGGGUCCGUGACCGCUUCAAGCCGAUAUAUUUAGGUUUUGGGAGUUAUCGAAAUUGUAUCACUGUUGUAAUUGUGGCCAUGUAUGCCUACAAUUGUCCUAUAUAUAAGGUUUAAACGUGACUCUUUCUAACUGCACUUCACAAUUUCAAAACUGAUACCGUUUUUGUGGAAAUGGUGAAAGGCGGGGAAAUAAUCGA